rnacentral:rRNA from 1 species
AUUGAACGCUGGCGGCAGGCCUAACACAUGCAAGUCGAGCGGAUGAAGGGAGCUUGCUCCUGGAUUCAGCGGCGGACGGGUGAGUAAUGCCUAGGAAUCUGCCUGGUAGUGGGGGAUAACGUCCGGAAACGGGCGCUAAUACCGCAUACGUCCUGAGGGAGAAAGUGGGGGAUCUUCGGACCUCACGCCAUCAGAUGAGCCUAGGUCGGAUUAGCUAGUUGGUGGGGUAAAGGCCUACCAAGGCGACGAUCCGUAACUGGUCUGAGAGGAUGAUCAGUCACACUGGAACUGAGACACGGUCCAGACUCCUACGGGAGGCAGCAGUGGGGAAUAUUGGACAAUGGGCGAAAGCCUGAUCCAGCCAUGCCGCGUGUGUGAAGAAGGUCUUCGGAUUGUAAAGCACUUUAAGUUGGGAGGAAGGGCAGUAAGUUAAUACCUUGCUGUUUUGACGUUACCAACAGAAUAAGCGCCGGCUAACUUCGUG